rnacentral:rRNA from 1 species
GAUGAACGCUGGCGGCGUGCCUAAUACAUGCAAGUAGAACGCUGAAGGAGGAGCUUGCUCUUCUGGAUGAGUUGCGAACGGGUGAGUAACGCGUAGGUAACCUGCCUGGUAGCGGGGGAUAACUAUUGGAAACGAUAGCUAAUACCGCAUGACAACAGUUAUUGCAUGAUAACUGUUUAAAAGGGGCAACUGCUCCACUACCAGAUGGACCUGCGUUGUAUUAGCUAGUUAGUGAGGUAACGGCUCACCAAGGCGACGAUACAUAGCCGACCUGAGAGGGUGAUCGGCCACACUGGGACUGAGACACGGCCCAGACUCCUACGGGAGGCAGCAGUAGGGAAUCUUCGGCAAUGGACGGAAGUCUGACCGAGCAACGCCGCGUGAGUGAAGAAGGUUUUCGGAUCGUAAAGCUCUGUUGUAAGAGAAGAACGAGUGUGAGAGUGGAAAGUUCACACUGUGACGGUAUCUUACCAGAAAGGGACGGCUAACUACGUG